AUAACAUGCCCUAAGGUGGAGGAUAACCUCGGGAAACUGAGAAUAAUACUCCAUAGGUCAUAGAUGUUGGAAUGCUCUAUGGCCCAAAGCUCCGGCGCCUUAGGAUUGGUCUGCGGCCUAUCAGGUUGUAGUGGGUGUAACGGACCCACUAGCCUACGACGGGUAUGGGCCUUGAGAGAGGGAGCCCAGAGAUGGACUCUGAGACACGAGUCCAGGCCCUACGGGGCGCAGCAGUCGCGAAAACUUCACACUGGGGGCAACCCCGAUGAGGGAAUUCCAAGUGCCUGCACAAUGUGUAGGCUGUUCUCCAGUAUAGAACGCUGGGGGAGUAAGGGCCGGGUAAGACGGGUGCCAGCCGCCGCGGUAAUACCCGCGGCCCAAGUGGUGGUCGAUAUUAUUGAGCCUAAAACGUCCGUAGCCUGAUCCAUAAAUCCUUGGGUAAAUCGGCCAGCUUAACUGACCGAAUUCCGAGGAGACUGUGGAUCUUGGGACCGGGAGAGGUCAGAGGUACUUCUGGGGUAGGGGUAAAAUCCUGUAAUCCUAGAAGGACCACCGGUGGCGAAGGCGUCUGACUAGAACGGAUCCGACGGUGAGGGACGAAGCCCUGGGGCGCAAACGGGAUUAGAUACCCCGGUAGUCCAGGGUGUAACGCUGCGGGCUUGGUGUUGGGGGUCCUUCGUGGGCGCCCAGUGCCGGAGAGAAGUUGUUAAGCCUGCUGCUUGGGGAGUACGUCCGCAAG
rnacentral:rRNA from 1 species